rnacentral:rRNA from 1 species
ACGAAGGUGGCAAGCGUUGCUCGGAAUUACUGGGCAUAAAGAGCGCGUAGGUGGCUUGGUUAGCGGGUGAUGAAAUCCCAUGGCUCACCCAUGGAACUGUUACCCGAACUGCCAAGCUUGAGGACGGUAGGGGAAAGUGGAAUUCCUGGUGUAGCGGUGAAAUGCGUAGAUAUCAGGAGGAACGCCGGUGGCGAAAGCGACUUUCUGGACCGUUCCUGACACUGAGGCGCGAAAGCUAGGGGAGCAAACAGG